UGGGGAAUAUUGCUCAAUGGGCGCAAGCCUGAAGCAGCAACGCCGCGUGAGGGAUGAAGGUCUUCGGAUUGUAAACCUCUUUCAGCAGGGACGAAGCGAAAGUGACGGUACCUGCAAAAGAAGCACCGGCUAACUACGUGCCAGCAGCCGCGGUGAUACGUAGGGUGCAAGCGUUGUCCGGAUUUAUUGGGCGUAAAGAGCUCGUAGGCGGUUCAUCACGUCGAAUGUGAAAACUCGGGGCUUAACCCCGAGCCUGCAUUCGAUACGGGUGGACUCGAGUGUGGUAGGGGAGACUGGAAUUCCUGGUGUAGCGGUGGAAUGCGCAGAUAUCAGGAGGAACACCGGUGGCGAAGGCGGGUCUCUGGGCCAUUACUGACGCUGAGGAGCGAAAGCGUGGGGAGCGAACAGG
rnacentral:rRNA from 1 species